rnacentral:rRNA from 1 species
UCUGUCUUAGUGGCGGACGGGUGAGUAACGCGUGGGCAACCUGCCCUGUACCGGGGGAUAACACUUAGAAAUAGGUGCUAAUACCGCAUAAUAGGGAAUACCGCAUGGUAAUCCUUUGAAAACUCCGGUGGUACAGGAUGGGCCCGCGUCUGAUUAGCCAGUUGGCGGGGUAACGGCCCACCAAAGCGACGAUCAGCAGCCGGCCUGAGAGGGUGGACGGCCACACUGGGACUGAGACACGGCCCAGACUCCCUACGGAAGGCAGCAG